rnacentral:tRNA from 1 species
UGUCUCAGUUGGUAGAGCAUGGCGCUUGCAACGCCAGGGUUGUGGGUUUGAUUCCCAC